CCCCCCCCCCCCCCCCCCAUAUGUACAUCUACAUCAGCAGCUCAGCUUGGAGAGGCGAAAUCUCCCCCGCUACGAGCAAGAACUGUACCCGCUCUGGAGCGGGGUCCCGGAGCUCGUGCUCACGAACCCGCCAUCCUCCCUCCGUCCCUCUCCGGCCGAGCCGGCCGUCGACCCGUUCGCCCUCGACGAACCGAAGAUGGUCUUCAAUAUCCUGAUCAUGAUCUGCCCUCGCUUCGGCGGGAAGCGCUGGUUCGAUCGCCUGGGGGAUUCCAGGAUCUGGCCGUCCAUGGCUUUGGAGGAUUUGGGGCGAUGGAAAAGCAGAGGAACGCGAGGGGAAGAAAGAGAGAGCAGAAACAGAGCACGAAAGAGAGGGAGGGAGUGUUUGAGAUGAUGUGGCUGCAAUGAGCGUUGGAUCCCGAGCCGAAGGGAGGAGGCCGUUGUACUUAUAGAGGCGGCUACAGUGCAAAACUUGCUCCUCACGAUGAAUCGAGCUCAGCCCUACCGGAUCAGGUGGUGCCCCGACCACCGUAAGAGAGUGGUCUCGAGAAAGGGAUGAAUGAUACAGGUGUCCUCUUCUUGUGUCUUUGCUCUUUUAUUCUUAGAAGAUGCGAAUAUACCG
rnacentral:lncRNA from 1 species